GUACAAUGCUUUGCAUAUGGCAGUUAGCAAUACAAUUAGGUGACAGUGGUUAGCGAUAGGCUUUGGUGGAUUAUGUGAACCCCUUCAACUUCUUUGCCUGCAAAACCUGCACAGUUAGGUAAUGUCAGCACGAGAACUCUGGGAUAUCUGACACUUUAAUUGCAUACUAAAUCCACAAUUGGCCAGUUUUGACAGUGAUAAACCACCUGGAAAGCACAUUUGGAAAGUAGAGUAUUAUUCCUAAUUUUCACCAAUAAUGUUUCUCAUUUUGCCAGGGCAGGUAUAACCCAUGGCUCCGCACUUAAAUCACAAAUUGUUAUUGAUCUACAUUUGAUCUUAGACUCUUCACUGGAUCUGAUUCUGGAGAAUGUCAAUGGAGUCAAGGUGGAGAUGGUGAAACAGUUUGUGGACUCACGUAAUUCCUAGGGAUUUGGGGCUAUUCAUUUUACUAAAGUCAUCAGUAGCUAAUUUUUUUCCCUAAAUCCUUAGCCCAGUUUGGGCAGUUUUAAUAUAGAACAUAGGACCAAGAAUUUUUCUUGGUCCUUUAAUGGCAUACUUUAAUGAACAUUUAUGAUUAAAGAUUCUUUUAGGCAAUUGAAGGCUGAGAGAUGACAUUGUGUUGACUCUUAUUUAACUCCACUCGCCCAACUAUGUCCCCUUAAUGGAGGUGCAAACAUGACUUCUCUCCCUCUCCCCAUUCUUUC
rnacentral:lncRNA from 1 species